CCUUGUUUUUAAAUUCAUUGCCAUUAUUGGUAGUGUAGGCUCUUCUCAUAUCAUCCUCCUCCUUUCUUGAUGUCAGCUGCUAUCACAUCACCCUUUACUCUAAUAACCUGAGAUAAAUAUUCAUAUUCAUGUAAUCAUGCUUAUUAAAAACAACAAACCAAUAUAAUAUGCUCAUCUAUAAUAAAAUAGAGAAUAAACAUAAUCACAAAACUUAAGUCAAUUUUUUUAUGCUACAAAUCCUUUCACUAAUGACAUUCAUGAUGUUAUGCUUGUCGAAAUCAACAAACCAAGAUAAUAUGCCAACCAAACUUGAUAGAAAAACAUUUCUAUACCUUUGUGACAGAGAAGCAAAAUCCUUGAAAGAAGAAGUGAGGGUCACCUAUAAAAAAAGAGAACAAACUUAAUCACAACUGAAAUAUUUCAAACAAAAACAAAGUAACAUAAUUG
rnacentral:lncRNA from 1 species